AUUUCAAGCUCCCAUUAAGCAGGAGCAAAGGGAUUUCUACAAAGAUGGAGGAAUUAAGACAGUGACACAUUCCAACUAAUAGUAAAAUCACUACAUUAGAUAUAAGGCUGAUUUCUAUCGGCUACUUUGUUCAACGUCUAUAUUCAAGGGAUUCGCAGUUUUGAGGAUUCGCAGUUUUGAGGAUGUGGCAGAGGCUCUGUAAAUCUGCACCCUGUUCGCCUGCAAAAAGCUCUACAAAUUUGAUACUCCAAGCCUGUACAGAUUACACUAUUAUUUCAGUGGAUGGCUAGAUUGCAUGUUGAAGCAUAGGCUCAACUUGAUUCAUCAGAGUUUUGUAUUCAAUGGAAAAGGAAUCGAGCUUGCCAGAUCUUGGGGAAAAUUUCAAGUUGCUAUAUAACAAGAGGCUAGAAAAGUACUUGGGUUGGGCAUAUAGGCAACAGUCCAAUUUGUAUCCCGAGAUUUCGCAAUUCUGAGGAGUUGUCAUGGACAGGAUGUGGCAAAGGCUCUGUAACGUUUAACAAGAUCUAUUCUGUUAGGAUUUCUCCAUUUUCAACAACUUCCUUUGGUUUGUCUUUAUUGAUAAGAAUUCAGUUGGUGAACAAAAAGAGUGACAGAGCAGUUUGUUCUGUAUAUUGGUGUUUGUUCUGUAGAUUCUUUGCCAAGUUUGUGAAGCUCGUAUGUUCUAAACAGACAAAAAUGCAGAAUACAGGCAGUUGGAGAUUACUAUGAAUGGCUACUUUCAUUUAGGAUCCAAAUGGAGAGAAGUGGGUUUACAGUUGGAUUUUAUGACUGUGAGGAUAGCUGAAUUUGUAAUUUCAAUAAACAAUUCUGAAUGGACAGAAUUUACAGCUAGGACAAUGGACGGUACACAAUUCAUCUUCCCCUUCCCCUUUCAAAGUUCAUCCUUACUCCUGUUUGAAGCUUAUUUGAACUUCUAUAUCUGAAAGUGGUAAGACUACUUUUCUUUGUUGAUAACCUAAUUUAAUCUCGUGUUUAGAGUUUUUCUAUGGUGAAAUUAGGAUUGUAGAUUCGAAAAUGUACAGUCUCUAACUCAAGUAUACCCACUACCUAACAUU